CUGCCUUUCACUCAAUGCCUCCUCUAUCUCUCUCUGUAUCUCUCUCGCUCUCUCUCUCUGUCUGUCUCUCUCUCUCUCGCUCUCUCUCUCACACUCUCUCUCUCUGUCUUCUGCUGUACAUCUGUGUUGCUUCUUGCGUCUUUUCCUCUCUCUUUCUCUGUCUCUCUCUCUCUACCCCCCCUCUCUCGCUUCUCUCUCCCUCUCUUUUCUCUCUCUUUCUCUCUAUCUCUUUGCUGAGCACUUUGGAGCUUAACUCUGCAAAGCCAACUGUUGCUGUACAGACUGCCAUCCGUCAGACACACAGGAAUGAAACUCUGCUGUUUUUAAGUGCUCAAAAAGGUCAACACUACAAUACAUUGUGCUUCUAUGCACCCUUACCAUGAUGCAUUCCCCAAAACAACAUGCAUACCAUGGCCAGAAUACAAGGAAAUGUGGGAAUCCUUCUUUCAAGCACAUGGAGUGAAUCAUAUCUCCCAGUUGCUCUAUUUCAGUAGCCGAUAUUUAAUUAUUUAUUUUGCUGGCAGGAAAUACACGCAGUCUGUGGACAUUUGCGGGGGGGAUUUGGAGAGAGAGAGAGAGCUGUUUACAUGGCCAGCCCAAAUGGCAGUCAGACGCACAAUUCAAACGCUACGUGUGAGCUCACCCAAACGUGGGUCUGUUUGGCUCAUUACAGCCACAGCCCGUCACAGGAUUAUUAAGCCAGCCAGCUCACGGCUGAGAGAGGGUGCAAGGGUGCACUCAUAAAUUCAUACACGCAGAUAGGAACCGUAUCAGCAGUAUGGUGCAAGACGCAGAGUUUUGGCAUCCUCGUGAAUAUGUCACUACCCAGACAAUAACCGUAUGAUUAUUUUAUUGACUUGUUGUCGUGGCAGCUCUUGUGCAGGUUGCCUUGUAAAUACAAGCAAUGAAAUUUGCGUGACCAUAACAUCAGGGUUAUUUUAUACGUACUCUGUCUACGAUGGACUUAAUCUAUACUGAAGAGAGUGCUUACAGUGGAGUGCUUGUGGAGGACGAGGGGCUUAGAGCAGCGCUGUGUGUUUCCUAAUCCAGCACGGCUUUGGGCUGGCAUGGAGUGAUCUGCUGUUGACAGAUGUUGACCUGUGACCUUGUCAGUAGGCGUAGCGCACUGGGUGACGGGGAUCACCAAAUCUAGCCUGAUUUGGUGAGGAGAUGAACCCCCUCUCUCCAGGAAUCCCAGUGGAGGAUGUGAACUGCUGACAUUUUUACAAAUGGACUCCCAGUGUAGGGAUCCCCUGCAUCCUGUGGCAUUGCAGUGAUAUGUCUGAUUGAAAGACUGAAUGUGAGUUCUGAAUGCAGAGCGAUCUGUCUGUCAGUGUGUUCUGCAGUGUGUCUGUUUGUGUGUGUUUAUGUGUGUGUGUGUGUGUGUGUGUGUGUGUGUGUGUGUGUGUGUGUGUGUGUGUGUGUUUAUGUGGAUAUAAUGAAUAUCAAUAGCAAUCAAUUUAUGUAUUGCCUGAAUCUAUUCAGAUGUGCCCAUUUUAUGCAUCCAUUUCUUGUGAUGUUAAAUUUGCACGCUGUUAGAAUACUCUACUGUCUAUCAGCCGGUCAGAUGUUUGCACUCUUAAUCACUGUCCGCCCGGGCACCUCCCCUCCCACCGCCUGCAUGGUGCCCAAGUGGAAUGACAAUCAACACAUUAGCACCGCCAAGAACCAAAUUAGCAUCUAAUGUGAGUCUUUGUUAUGUGAGACGGGAAAUACGAAUGCGGUCGUUUCCACUGGAUUCCAGGUAUUGUGAGAGCAUUUGACCAAUCCCUAACCAGCAUUAGGUGGGCAGACAGAUUCUUCGUCCUCAAGAGCAAUUGCAGGAGGCUGUUCAAAUGCAACAGAUGGCUUUCAUACAAACCACAGAUAGUCUUGAACUGGUGUGUUUAUGAAGCAUAUAUUUGUAUCCUUAUAUGUAUUUUUGGAAAGGAGGUAUUUGUGAAAAUCAGUACUUGUUUUUGUUCACCAAUUUACAACAAACCAAAAAUAAAUAUAUAUAAUAUUUAUGAAAUGCAUGUUCGGCGGCUCAUCAUUUCAGUUUACUCUGCAUAAUGGCCGACGAGAGUCUUUGCCUGCUUUUUGCACGCGCUGGAAUGGGAUGCGAAGAGAUGAAAAACAGCCCACUUAGCACUGACUGAUGCAACCUCCCAAUCAUUUGUGAGUGUUUAUGCGCCCUGCACCAGGGGACUUCUGGGUCUCAGUAGGUAGCAGGGAGCACUCUGAGGACCAGGCUCAGCCCCGUCGUGCUGGUUGGGUUUGACUGCACCACAGCCUAUUAUGCUCCUCCUGCUGUACCUAUGUACAGUAGCUCACUCAGACAGUCUCAUGUGGAUUCAUUUGGUUGUACAUUUCCUUUGAAUUUCAACGUAAUUACUACACCAAGUGUGAACCUACAUGGUCUAAAUUCUUUCAUUUUUUAUCAUCUCUAUGGACUAGAUGCAUAUGAUAUUUGCUUAGUUUAGUGCUCAUCCUCAUAAUAUUAGGAGAAAAAUAUGGUGGAGGUCUGUCUGUUGCAUGAGUAUACUUUAAAUGACUCAAGGAGUUAAUGUAUGAGUAUACUUUAAUUGACUCAAGGAGUUUUUGCAUGAGUAUACUUUAAAUGACUCAAGCAGUUUUUGCAUGAGUAUACUUUAAAUCACUCAAGGAGUUUUGGCAUGAGUUUACUUUAAAUGACUCAAGCCCAGUUCUACUUUUUAUGCACGCUGAAAUAGGCUUCCAGUCAUAGAUGGUUUCUUAUUUGAAUAGGAAAGUUUGUCUGGGUAGCUUUCACAUUAAAGACAAAAUGAGAAACAUAAUGUAGCUUUUCAAUGUAGACUUUCCAUUGCACUCGUUCAUUCACUUCAGCUGAAAAAGAAUUCCACUGUGCUCAGUGUAAUUAUUGGCCAGACUUUACACAAAUAAACCCAUAUCAGGGUUUUAGGUCAUGCUCCUCGAGGCUCUACAUUUUGGAUGAUGAAGCACUUGCUUUCCCAUGCUUGACCAUAAGAGUUUCUAUCUAAACAUCCCCCCUGGAAAGCAGUACCCCCUCUGCCAGCAUCCUGCAGAGAGAUUUCACUUUGACAUUAAUAUUUCUGACAAAUUUGCAUGAGGCAGAGCAAGCCACCAUGGCGUCAACGGAGAUUUUAAUUGAAAAGGAAAAGUUCAUUACCCACUGAGUCCUCCUGCACCCACCCACCCACGUACACACACAAACACACACACGCACACACACACACAUAUGUACGUACACACACACACACACACACACACAUGUACGUGCACACACACACACACGGAGCAAUCAAGUCAGAUGUGGUCAUGAGCUUGUUAAUUAGGUCCUCCUCAUGAGAUGCCGGGAACACAGGCCUGAUCCUACUGCUCCCAUCCAUGAUUAGAUCAGUCUCGCUUCCAUCUCGCUCUCCUCAGACGGGGAAGAGCCGGGCAUGUCGUCCAUGAAAGGCGGCUGCAUCGAGCCAGCGCCGGAGGAGAUGUGGCAGCCCCACUUCUUUUAUGCACGGGGGCCAGACGGUGGGAGAGAUUGCCUCGUUCCUCAGCUCUUAAUUAUGGUAUUAAACCGUCAAAGAAAAAAGGACAAAACCGAAAGGCCGACUUCUAACUCUUAUCUCAUUACUCGGGUCUACGCCAGUGAAAGAGCAUCUAGAACGCAGAUUGCGCAGUGAAAUAGUUAUCUUAACCUAAACAUUUGUCAACACUAACCUUUUGGGUGACACGCCAGCCAUUUCGCUACAGACCCAUGUCUCAGGCUGCCGUGGCAGUGUUGUACUACGUUGUAUAUCACCGUGUUGUGUGUGUACAGAGUAUAUGCUCCACGCAGCAUGCAGAGCCCUGAGUGGAUUACGCAACGUUUAUCAGGCACUGCAGCUGCGUGACCCAGAGACACACUCAGGUAUAAGCAGGGAUUCCCUGAAGCAGGCCAGGCUGCAGAAUCCUAUUAAGGGUCUAUCUGCAAGCUGUCGUCAGAUAAUGACAGGGAACGGGGACGGGCUGGGUGCUGGUUGGGUGCUGGAUGGGCGCGCGUAGCAUCAGCGUCCGUGGAGCGGCCCAGAGCCACACGCCGAUUCUGAUCAGCCGACAGCCCUGGCGCUGUUGUGUUUCAUCUGUGGCCUCCACGGGGGCUUUCUGCCCCGAACGGCCCCUGGUCUUCGGUGUAAAAAAAAACAAAAACAGAGAGCACACCCACAGCAGCCGUCAUGGCUCUGCCCCCGGACACACGGCAGAGCCAUCAGCCAUCUGUGAUUGUCAUCAACAGGGGCGCUGCCUCGUCUUGUUUGGUUUCGGCGUGCUUCGCUGACACGUCUCCCCCCGUUGCACUUGGCAGAACUUUGUGACCAAGCUGUUUGUGAAGGUGGCCGCAGUUCUACUCGUGGGCUGGCGAUGUCAUGACUGUGGAGCUGCUUGUUUGUCUGGGUUUCUUUUCUCCAAAAGGAAGCAGAAGGUGCCUGUUCAUGAACGUGCAGAUAACACCUCCAACUCUUUAUGGUGUCAGAGGUACUUCAAAGCCUCUUUGCCAGGCCUUUAUUUAUGACUAUCAUUUUGGACUAUAGUUUAAAAAGAAAUUUGCCAUGGCCUUCAUUAAUAUAUGUUACACUUAGGCUCAGCACGGUCUUUUAUUGUCUUUUGUAGCAGAGUUAUGAGGUUUGGGUGUAUCGUUUUAAACAAGUGUGGUGUGAGCACUGCUUUAUUUCUGGGGGGGGGGGGGACUCGGUGCGCUCAGCAGUAACAUUCUCCUCACCCAGUGUGAGUGUGAUCAGGAGAACUCUUCUGCCUCACUGCAUGGGAAACAACAGUGUUUGCGUAACAAUAUAAUCUGUGUUGAUGAAGCUGAUAGCUUGAAAAGGUGGACAAAACAUUGGAACUGGCACCAUGCCGGGAUGGAUUAUCAGCCGCUCGGAACUCUGCUCGGAAGUGCUGAUCUGAGAGACAGUCAAACAUGGCACCUAAGGUGUCUGUUUUUCCUGUGAAGACUGAAGAGUGAAGUCUACCGCUCCACACCAGGAAAUCAGGACACAUGCUUGCCAUGCUCUGUCCAUCCUCCCUGGCCCUACGUCCAGCAGGGGCCUAGGAUGUUCGAGCGCUGUGGAAUUGAUCUUUGUCCUCUUGCACCUCUAAGCCCCUUAGCCAGCAGCCAAUCCCAGUGGAGUUCCGGGCAUUCCCAGUGGUCCGCAGAGGACCCUGCAAUCCCAUCUGCCCUCUCCACUCUCCAAUCUCUCAGCUCAGGGCUCUCAUGCUUGUAAUCCCUCUAAUAGUGGAGAUGUGAUGGCAGAGGGGACGGGUGGGUGAUACGCUGCAUGUGGCGUGUCAGGGCGCUCAGCGGGAUCAUUUUGGUGUUGGGGUGGGGGGGGGGGAGGGGGGCUUUCCCUUACACUGGCUUCCCGUUUUUAAACUCGGAGGCGGCACUGGAAAACACCUUGGAAUCCUCCAGUUCCUCCAGUGAAAUCAUUAUUUUUGUUAAUCUCAGAUGAGCUGCAGUACCAUCUUGUUUGUCAGAAGAGCCAAUCCUGAUAUUGAUCCCGCUCCCUAUUGUAUCAGAUCCUCUAGAUCUGUCUACGUCUACGUCUCCACUGUUCACCCUCUACACUUUGCCACACAGAUGGAAUGAAUAAAUAGGAAACUUUUUUAAGAGCUUUCUUUAUUAAAAGAAACUGCAGACAUACCCUCUCCAUCCAUAACUUCAAAAGGAAAGAAAAUAGUUCAAGUGAAUACUUGACAGGGCCCAAGGCUUGUCUCAGUGUAUCAAGUAAUAGAGUCCAGAACACCAGAUGGGACAUUGUUGUUUGCCUUGUUCUAGCAAAUAAUACUAAUAUGUUACAGGAAAUUGCCACAUGACCUCUUAUUCCUCGCAAAAUGUUUUUUUUUUUAUCGAAUAGGCCUAUAAUACUGGAGACAAUACAGGAACAAUGCUAGUGUGUUGUUUUAUUUAUGCAAUGUAUUCAUGUAUUCUAUAGUUUGAUUAUUUUUGUUUUGGUGUCUGGGAUCAGAUAUCCUUAUCUGUAGUACACGCAGUGCUAGCUGCUAGCGCGGGGUACAUGAGGAUGAACCCAUGCUGCUCUAAUCUGGUGGCGGCUGCUGCGUCACUUCUCUCCAGACACCAGCUGCUGCCCCGGGGGUCGUCAUGGGUAGAAAUGGCAGGCAGGAAAUGGGCAGACGUCGUCUCGCUGUGCAUUCGACUCUUAACAAGCAGCUCCACAGACAUAGAGCGGGCACAGUAUCAGUGAAAUCACACAUUUACGGGACAAGGGGUGGAACCAGCUGACCAGCAGACGAGUGUUCUGUCUCCUCACUGCUGUUGAAGUGCCAGUGUCCGUAUCCUGCCCAGCAUCUUACGCAACUCUCUUACCCAAAGAGCACUGUGUAGGAUUAAGGACUUGUAUAACAUGCCAUAUGUAAGUCUUCUUUCAGGGACUGAAUUUCAGUCCCUCUCUCUAUUGCAGGACAUGUUUUUUUUUCAGUCAUCGGACUGGUCAUUUCCAGUUAUAGUGUAUAUCAGAGGGUGACUCCUGUUAAUUGAGAUCCCCGUAUAUCUCCGCGCACACUACAUAUAAAGUUACACACUUUGAACUCCCUCACGUCAGCCAUUAAAUGUCAUACACUUUAAAUCUUGUGGUAUGAAAGGCCUUAUUUCAUUAUGGAGGUCUGCUGCAGUACAUACCCAGUUUUGCGGAGCGCUUAGCUUCGUGAUUAAGCAUGCAAGGGCGGGAGGUUCUCAUCUUUCAUUUCCUAAUGCAACACCCUCCCAGUGACAUACUGCCGUUGAAGUCAUUCAUCUCAAUAUAUAUUUCUCUCGUCCCUGCCCACACUCCUGCACGUAAAGGACGUCCGGUACAGUGAAAGACUGAUCGGAGAGCAGAGGCAUGCCCUUUCUGUGUGCCUCAUACUAAGCAGGCCUGUCCUCCAUGGGCCGUGCUGUUUGCGGCACUCGACUCCCUUACCAGUGCGGUGCUAAUAGCAGUCUAGUGCCGGUUUACUUUCAUCCACAAGCACAAUUGAGUGCCUUAAUGUCCAACCAGGUUUCAAAGCAUCCAGCAAAUGCAUUUUAGGAAAAUGUUGAUGAUUUUUGAGGUUGUAUUCAUGAGAGGCUUCUAGUUGUGGUUGUGGAGACUCGUGCCAUUUAAUCUGGCUGUCUUCUCUCCAGUAGUGAUUAAUCUGGUAUGCAGUAGGCAUGGCAUGAGUUUUUCGUGCAAAGUUAGCCUCUCACAAAGUAAUGCCUCCCCUCAGACAUAGACCUUUCCUCUCUGUUCUGGUUUUGUUUUUGGCUGUGUUCUCUGUUCUUUUGUUCGCUUCCACUUGUUUUGUUCUCGUUUUUUUUUUUGCCAAUUCAGCCUUGGGAUUUAGGUCCUUGUUGCUUGUUUUGUUUUCAUUGACAGUGUAAUUGCGAAGUUUUGUACUGUGAUGAAAAAAAAAAAAAAAAAGCUGCUCAGUGAAGCCCUCCAAUGCCCUUAGAAACUGUUUAAUAAGUUACUGGGCAAAACAAACUGGGAGCAUUUUCAUGAUUAGACCCA